AAGUCGUAACAAGGUUUCCGUAGGUGAACCUGCGGAAGGAUCAUUAACUAUUCUUAAAGAUACCUUUGUGAAUUGAACAUGGAAGGAUUGGUCGGAAUGACUGACGCCUUUUGUUUGCCGCUUUGGCGGAUAUAUACAUUAAGAGUACAUUAUAAAAUUUACAAAAACAAUUUUUAACAAUGGAUCUCUAGGCUCUU
rnacentral:misc_RNA from 1 species